GACCGUGCAAAGGUAGCAUAAUCAUUUGCCUUAUAAUUGAAGGCUUGUAUGAAUGGUUUGACAAGAAUAAAUCUGUCUCUUUACAAUUAAAUAUAAUUUUAUUUUCAGGUGAAGAAGCCUGUAUUAAAUUGAAAGACAAGAAGACCCUAUCGAGCUUGAAAGCAAUUAAUAAACCUAAAACUCAUAUUAAUACUGAAUGAUUUAUUAAAAAUUUUAGUUGGGGCGACAGAGGAACAAAUAAAGCUUCCUCAAAAUGAAAAACACACAUGUAAUGAUCCAAAUUCUUUGAUUAAAGGAAUUAGUUACCGUAGGGAUAACAGCAUUAUCUUUUUUAAGAGUUCAAAUCGAAAAAAAGGUUUGUGACCUCGAUGUUGGACCAGAAUGUCCUAAAGAUGCAGCCGUCUUUAAAGGUUGGUCUGUUCGACCAUUAAAAUUCUACGUGAUCUGAGUUCAGACCGGCGUGAGCCAGGUCAGUUUCUAUCUUCAAUUUUUGAUGUGGACUUAGUACGAAAGGAUUAGUCUAUGGUAAGACUUACUAUGUUUGAUAAAGUAUAAAAAGAGGUUUAAAAAAUAAUAUUUCGUGUAAAUCAAAUUAGCAAAGAUAAUGCAAUUGACUUAGGAUCAAUAGACAUAGGUGAAAUUCCUUUAUUUGAUAUGCUAUAAAGAUGGCAGACAAA
rnacentral:rRNA from 1 species